rnacentral:lncRNA from 1 species
CCCCCCCCCCCGUCAAAUGUACUGCUUAUCAACUCAGGCAGAGUCAUGGCACACUUACAUCUGUUUUGGGAAAUUCUCCUGCAGUUGUCUUCCUCCAUGUUUUGUUAAUCAACUCUUAGUUCUUAUGCAACUAAAGCAGAGGUAA